rnacentral:misc_RNA from 1 species
UCAAACUUGGUCAUUUAGAGGAAGUAAAAGUCGUAACAAGGUUUCCGUAGGUGAACCUGCGGAAGGAUCAUUACUGAGUUAGGGUGUCAAUCUUGAGCCCGACCUCCAACCCUUUGUUUACUUGACCUUUUUGUUGCUUCGGUAGGCCUGUCUGUCAUGGACUGCCGGGGGUUUCGACCUCUGGAGAGUUGCCUACCGAUGGCCCCAAUUUUAACUCUUGAUGAAAACAUGUCGUCUAAGUCAUACACAAAAACAAGCAAAACUUUCAACAACGGAUCUCUUGGUUCUGGCAUCGAUGAAGAACGCAGC